rnacentral:rRNA from 1 species
UACGUAGGGGGCAAGCGUUGUCCGGAUUUAUUGGGCGUAAAGAGCGUGUAGGCGGCCGUACAGGUCAGCUGUGAAAACUCGAGGCUCAACCUCGAGACGUCGGUUGAAACCGUACGGCUAGAGUCCGGAAGAGGAGAGUGGAAUUCCCGGUGUAGCGGUGAAAUGCGCAGAUAUCAGGAGGAACACCGAUGGCGAAGGCAGGUCUCUGGGCAUUAACUGACGCUGAGGAGCGAAAGCAUGGGGAGCGAACAGG